CAUGUCUUUUUGAUAAUAAUUUAAGGUCUGAUCUGCUCAAUGAAGUUUAAAUUGCCGCAGUAUUUUGACUGUGCAAAGGUAGCAUAAUAAUUAGUUUUUUAAUUAAGAACUGGUAUGAAUGAUUGGACAAGAAAAUUACUGUCUCUUUUUUAAUUUUUAUUGAAUUUUAUUUUUAAGUGAAAAAGCUUAAAUUUUUAUAAAAGACGAGAAGACCCUAUAGAGUUUGAUAUUCUUAGCUAUUUAAAUAUAGAAUUUUUUUUUGUUAAGGUUUAUUUAGUUGGGGUGAUUUGAAGAUUUAAUAAAUUCUUUAAUAGAAAAAUUAGUGAUUUCUAAAAUAAAAUUCUAUAAUUUGUAAGUUUAAAAUAAAUUACCUUAGGGAUAACAGCGUAAUUUUUCUUUAAAGUUCUUAUUAAAAGAAAAGUUUGCGACCUCGAUGUUGGAUUAAAAUUAAUUUUUGGUGCAAUAACUUAAAAAUUAGGUCUGUUCGACCUUUAAAAUUUUACAUGAUCUGAGUUUAAACCGGUGUAAACCAGGUUGGAUUCUAUCUUUAAAUAAUUAUUAUAUUUUAGUACGAAAGGACCAAAUAUUUAUUAAAUUA
rnacentral:rRNA from 1 species